GGAGGGAUCAUUACAAGUGACCCUGGCCUCCGGGCCGGGAUGUUCAUAACCCUUUGUUGUCCGACUCUGUUGCCUCCGGGGCGACCCUGCCUUCGGGCGGGGGCCCCGGGUGGACAUAUCAAACUCUUGCGUAACUUUGCAGUCUGAGUAAAUUUAAUUAAUAAAUUAAAACUUUCAACAACGGAUCUCUUGGUUCUGGCAUCGAUGAAGAACGCAGCGAAAUGCGAUAAGUAAUGUGAAUUGCAGAAUUCAGUGAAUCAUCGAAUCUUUGAACGCACAUUGCGCCCCCUGGUAUUCCGGGGGGCAUGCCUGUUCGAGCGUCAUUUCACCACUCAAGCCUCGCUUGGUAUUGGGCGACGCGGUCCGCCGCGCGCCUCAAAUCGACCGGCUGGGUCUUCUGUCCCCUCAGCGUUGUGGAAACUAUUCGCUAAAGGGUGCCACGGGAGGCUACGCCGUAAAACAACCCCAUUUCUAAGGUUGACCUCGGAUCAGGUAGGGAUACCCGCUGAACUUAAGCA
rnacentral:rRNA from 1 species